rnacentral:rRNA from 1 species
UACGUAGGGAGCAAGCGUUGUUCGGAUUUACUGGGCGUAAAGGGCGCGUAGGCGGUCAGCACAAGUCAGUUGUGAAAUCUCCGGGCUUAACUCGGAAAGGUCAACUGAUACUGUGCGACUAGAGUGCAGAAGGGGCAACUGGAAUUCUCGGUGUAGCGGUGAAAUGCGUAGAUAUCGAGAGGAACACCUGCGGCGAAGGCGGGUUGCUGGGCUGACACUGACGCUGAUGCGCGAAAGCCAGGGGAGCGAACGGG